GUUUGCUGACUGCUCUGCAGAAUUUGGACUCGUGCAUACCCACAGUUGCGGUCCCUGAAGACACCCACUUUCUGGAAUGUCCCUGCAGAUGGGGCAAAUGACACCAUCUGGACACUGGAAACAGCACAUGCUUGGGGAAAUGCCCCCCAGCCCGAGCGGAGCGGCUAGAGCAAAGUCUCCUCCCAGCUAAAUGAGCUUCCCUCGCUGCCCUUUCUUCCGGUCGGCUUGGCUUUCAUCUCCCUCCCUCUGCUCUCUCUGUCCCGCCCAGCAGGCAGGUGAACCUGCAGGUUCUGUGAUCCUGCUGCUCUGCAGAAAAAUAAAAACCAAAACUC